AACGAACGCUGGCGGCAGGCUUAACACAUGCAAGUCGAACGGGCGCAGCAAUGCGUCAGUGGCAGACGGGUGAGUAACACGUGGGAACCUUCCUUAAGGUACGGGACAACUCGAGGGAAACUUGAGCUAAUACCGUAUACGUCCGAGAGGAGAAAGAUUUAUCGCCUUUAGACGGGCCCGCGUCGGAUUAGCUAGUUGGUGGGGUAACGGCCUACCAAGGCGACGAUCCGUAGCUGAUCUGAGAGGAUGAUCAGCCACACUGGGACUGAGACACGGCCCAGACUCCUACGGGAGGCAGCAGGUGGGGAAUCUUGGACAAGUGGGGGAAACCCUGAUCCAGCCAUGCCGCGUGAGUGAAGAAGGCCGUUUAGGGUUAGUAAAG
rnacentral:rRNA from 1 species